UGCCAGCAGCCGCGGUAAUACGGAGGGUGCGAGCGUCAGUCGGAAUUACUGGGCGUAAAGCGCGCGUAGGUGGUCUGUUAAGUGGGAUGUGAAAGCCCCGGGCUCAACCUGGGAAUUGCACCCCAAACUGGCAAACUAGAGUACAAGAGAGGGGCGUGGAAUUUCCUGUGUAGCGGUGAAAUGCGUAGAUAUAGGAAGGAACAUCAGUGGCGAAGGCGACGCCCUGGCUUGAUACUGACACUGAGGUGCGAAAGCGUGGGGAGCGAACAGGAUUAGAUA
rnacentral:rRNA from 1 species